GUUUUUGCUUCAUCACCAUGGCUGGAAGCUGUCGUACAAUGCUGAACAGCAGUUGCAAGGAUGGCUUAUCCCUCUCUAGGGGCAUCCCAUCUUUUGCCAUUAAGGAUGAUGCUUUCUAUCAAAACUAUAUUGAGGGUUGGAGAGAUUCAAGACUUGCCACUCAAGCCUGACAACCUGAGUCUGGAUCCCUGGAAGUCAUGUGAAAGCCAGAUGAUGUGGCACGUGUCUAUAAUCCCAGCAAACAGCAAGAGAAACACUGCUUCUGACAAGGUAGAAGUUGAGGACCAUCGCUCCAGGUUGUUCUCUGAAGACACACAGGCAUCAACAUUUCAAGUGUUCAUUCACCAAUGGCUCCUGGCUAUUAUGUGGCUACAAGUACAGACUAUCUUCAUUGUUAUGGAUAAUUCUUUUGUUGUCUCUGCUCUAAGGAAACCUCUAUGAAGUAUGCUGAGAAGAAAGUUUUGGAAGAAUUUGAAGGUUGUGUGUGUUGGGAUGGGUGUCUAAAGAGUGCCUUAUUAGUUACCAUUUGAGCCUUUUCUAUCCUACAGCUUCUUUCUGGCUGCUCUCUUUUUUCUUAAAGAGUUCAGCAAGAUGGGUCACAUGGAUCUUAUCCAGAGUGAAUAUGAAAUGUCUCCCACAGGCUCAAGGGUUACAUGUUUAGUGCCCAGCUUGGUGGGACUAUCUUGGGAUGUUCUGAGAACUUCAGGUAGUGAGAUCUAGUUGGAAGAAGUAGGUAACUGGAGA